UACGGGGGGAGCAAGCGUUGUUCGGAUUUACUGGGCGUAAAGGGCGCGUAGGCGGCGCAACAAGUCACUUGUGAAAUCUCCGGGCUUAACCCGGAGCGGUCAAGUGAUACUGUCGUGCUAGAGUGCGGAAGGGGGCUACUGGAAUUCUCGGUGUAGCGGUGAAAAUGCGUAGAUAUCGAGAGGGAAACACCCAGUGGCGAAGGCGAGUCUCUGGA
rnacentral:rRNA from 1 species